rnacentral:rRNA from 1 species
AUUGAACGCGAGCGGGCUGCCUUACCCAUGCAAGUCGAACGGAGUGGCGAACGGGUGAGUCAUGUAUCGGGACGUGCCCAGUAGAGGGGGAUAACUACGCGAAAGCGUAACUAAUACCGCAUACGAAUGGAGCGGCCGACAUCGGACUAGCUAGUUGGAGCGGUAACGGCUAACCAAGGCGACGAACCGUAGCGGGUUUGAGAGGACGACCAGCCACACGUGGACUUAGACACGGCCCAGACGCCUACGGGAUGCAACCGUGGGGAAUUUUGGACAAUGGGGGAAGCCCUGAUCCAGCCAUCCCGCGUGUGCGAUGAAGUCCUUCGGGUUGUAAAGCACUUUUGCCAGGAAAGCGGUACCUGCAGAAUAAGCACCGGCUAACUACGUGACAGCAGCCGCGGUAAUUC